CCCCACAUAGUAUCAUGGCAGAUGUGCUCAAGAGUGCUUGAGCAUAUGGUACUCCCAAAAGCAUGGUGAAACACAUAGAGGUGUGUCACAAGCUGAACACAUGUACUUUGUCAACCUCGUAUGCUUCCUUUUCCUGGUGCCAGACAGGCAGACUUUGCCGUGCCUCCGUGUGCGACUACCUUGAGCAGCAGUUUAAGGGACUUUGCAGGGAAAAUGCCGUGCAGUGAGGUGUAGGGGAUUGUCUGCAGCAGGACGGCCCCCAGUGGCCCCCAGUGGAUCGGCGCUGAGGGGUGUGGUGCUCCUCCAGCAGCUCUCUCAUGAGGUUUUCUCUGUACUUUUGGUGGUCCACCUUCCCUGUGGCCGACAUGGUGGCUGUCUGGACAGUGGAGAGGACAUGGACAUCUUGUUUGUCAUGCCACUUUACUGCCAGUUGUUGACUGUUCUCCUUGAACUCCACCUCCCCUCUCUGCAUCUUCCUCCAUCCGAAUGCUGGCAUCCCCUUCCUGUUAGACCUGACUGUGCCACAGGCUCCUGUGCUGUUGGAAGAGCAGAAGCUGGAAGAGUGUGGGACUGCUGUAACAAUUGUCCCCAUACAAAGUGUGUCCCUUGCUGAGAUGAGGAGCCAGCAUGGUCAUCACCGUGGACCUGGGCACCCCAAGACCCUCAUAAUGUUGGACGUUACCGUGCUUCUAGACCUGCAUUGCUUGCUGUUUGGGGUUUUAGGCUGGGUUUCUGUACAGCACUUUGAGAUAUCAGCUGAUGUACGAAGGGCUAUAUAAAUACAUUUUAUUUUAUUUUAUUUUGAUUUGACGUCAGUAGUGGACCCUGGGUAAACUAUAAUGUCCCGGACAAAUCCUGUCUUCACGUCUCACAUGACAAAGAACUUGACCCCAAACCUGUGCCUUUUGGAGGCAAUAUAUUGACGGAACGCCAGCCUACCCUUCCAUAACAUCAGGGACUCAUCAAUGAAUAGGUCCUUGUAUGGCACAAAGAACUGACAAAAUGUUGAUGUCAGGCUGCUCCAAGGCAUAGCGAUUGGUCUCCUCUACUAUGUCUCCCACCAGCUCCUCUGUCAGAAACAGCUUGAAGCACUCUGCCACAGAGGGAAAUGGCAAGGGGCUUUUGCACUCCAGACUGGAACUCAUCAAAGCAAACAGCAGGGCCAGGAGGAGUGAAAUGGCUGGCGGCCUUCCAGCUACCACAGACUUUCUGUACUUCAUCCACUGCCGGUCUGCCUCCAUCACCAUCAGCAUCUUCAAAGUGACCUGGGACUUCAUCAGUGGACAAGGGGUCCUCAGAUUCAGGGUUCUCAAUGGCUACAAGGUUUGGGGGCAACUCCUCACUUUCACUAUCACUGUCAGAAUCUUAUUUCUGACUUUCAUACUCUGACUCAUUGUCAGAAUUUAUAAAAAAUCUCCAGAAUUUCCGCAUUUGUGGGUCUCCUUUUAAAAGACAUUGCGAAAGCUACAGCUUAGCUCACUAGCUACACACAUAAAUAACAACACUGAAUGGCUCAGAGUGGGAGUGAGAGGUUACGUGAUUGACUGCAUGCACGCGCCACUUGUAUCAAUAAAUCACUGUCAGAAAAUGUUUUGUUUGGUAAUUAUUUAUCUAUUUAUUUACUGUUUUAUUCACGUUUUCAAGUACUGGUGACAAAAAUGCAUUCCGAUUAUUUCAUAGAUUACAAUGGACACAUAUUAUGUGUGUAAAAUACUUUUUUUAAUGAUUGUACUGAUUAUGAUGAGUUAAGCUAAUUCUAGCUAUGUGUGGAGCCAUGUUUGUUGACAUACAAUGCAUUCUGGGUUUCACGUCUGUCGGACCGAAGAUUUUUCAAGUAAACUUCCAGAAGUGAAUGAUGGGAUGUGAACGAUGGUAGACAACACACUCCCUUCAACAUGCAUACUAUAAAUAGACCAAACUCAUCUUGUCUCCUCCCAUAAUCUUUGGUUGAUGCAAAAAAACAAACAUGGCGGCACUCACAAACUACCCAUCGUCGGAUAACUUUCGAUUUCUAGAAACCAUUUUACUCAAUUAUUUUGAUCAAUGGUGAGCUCACCCAUGAUGUGACUAAUUAUGCUGUAGCUACUUCUGUGAAUGUCUGAACAUUGCAUCCAAAAAAUAAACUGGUCAC